CCAACUGCUCCAGUACAGUCCGAUGUCAAACAGACCGUCCACAGACUGUUUGUGUGGGAACUCAGAGGGUUGAGACACAGUCUGUGGGAACACAGACAGUGGAAUGUAAAGUGUCCGCCAUUUCUGUUGCUACACAGUUGGCCCGGGGAACACUGAAAUCGGCACACGUGAGAAGCAAAGGCAUCCAGGCCACGGUGUCUUUCAAAAGUGUUGGCACUAAAACUUCCACCUACACAGAAAUCCCCUUGUCCUCUACACCAAUAAAGGGCCCAGGAUUGGGACCUAGCAAGAGACCUCGACUAGAGUUGGAGCAGGAACAAGGAGAGACUUCGAUUGAAUUUGAAGAGACUCUGGAUUCGAGUUACCACCCUGAUGAUACUGUAGAAGAAUCUGACGUAUCCGUUGUCCAAACUGCACUUACUUCAGACAAUGGGAGAGCCAGCCCAUCAUUGGAAGUACCCCGGUUGGCAACUUACAAUUAUCUGCUGCUACAUACUUCACUGGUGCUUCCUUCUUCCAACUAAAAAAGAUAUGCAGAGCCAUGCAGCUGGAGAUCUUCCAGUAUGAGACCUUCAGGAGGCAUGCUAGGCAUUAUCUGGAGCCUGCUAUUAUCCACAAGUGGAAAACUGAUCAGCUGAAGAUUUUCCAGCAACUACACCACCAGGGGGGAAAGGUCACAGUUGCAGGAGAUAUGAGAGCAGACUCUCCAGGCCACUCAGCUAAGUUUGGGAGCUACACACUAAUGCACCUGGGAAGCAACACCAUUGUGG